CGGCGAACGGGUGAGUAACACGUGGGCAACCUACCCAGAAGACCGGGAUAACGGCUCGAAAGGGCCGCUAAUACCGGAUAAUGUCGGGGUACCGCAUGGUACUCCGAAGAAAGGGGAAACCCGCUUUUGGAUGGGCCCGCGUCCCAUCAGCUAGUUGGUGAGGUAACGGCUCACCAAGGCGACGACGGGUAGCCGGUCUGAGAGGAUGGUCGGCCACACUGGGACUGAGACACGGCCCAGACUCCUACGGGAGGCAGCAGUUGGGAAUCUUGGGCAAUGGGCGAAAGCCUGACCCAGCGACGCCGCGUGAGGGAAGAAGGCCUUCGGGUCGUAAACCUCUGUCAUGGGGGAAGAAGCAAGUGACGGUACCCCAAGAGGAAGCCCCUGCUAACUACGUGCCAGCAGCCGCGGUAAUACGUAGGGGGCGAGCGUUGUCCUGAUUUACUGGGCGUAAA
rnacentral:rRNA from 1 species